rnacentral:rRNA from 1 species
CGUACUACAAUGGUGGUUAACAGAGGGAAGCAAGACCGCGAGGUGGAGCAAAUCCCUAAAAGCCAUCCCAGUUCGGAUUGCAGGCUGUAACCCGCCUGUAUGAAGUUGGAAUCGCUAGUAAUCGCGGAUCAGCAUGCCGCGGUGAAUACGUUCCCGGGCCUUGUACACACCGCCCGUCACACCAUGAGAGUCGGGAACACCCGAAGUCCGUAGCCUAACCGCGAAGGGGGGCGCGGCCGAAGGUGGGUUCGAUAAUUGGGGUGAAGUCGUAACAAGGUACC